CGCCUUCAUGAAGCUGGAAUUGCUAGUAAUGGCAGGUCAGCAUACUGCCGUGAAUACGUUCCCGGGCCUUGUACACACCGCCCGUCACACCAUGAGAGUUGGAAAUACCCGAAGCCUGUGAGCUAACAGUAAUGAGGCAGCAGUCGAAGGUAGAGCCAAUGAUUGGGGUGAAGUCGUAACAAGGUAUC
rnacentral:rRNA from 1 species